rnacentral:rRNA from 1 species
CAGUAGCCACGGGAAUACGUAGGUGGCAAGCGUUGUCCGGAAUUAUUGGGCGUAAAGGGCUCGCAGGCGGUUUCUUAAGUCUGAUGUGAAAGCCCCCGGCUCAACCGGGGAGGGUCAUUGGAAACUGGGAAACUUGAGUGCAGAAGAGGAGAGCGGAAUUCCACGUGUAGCGGUGAAAUGCGUAGAGAUGUGGAGGAACACCAGUGGCGAAGGCGACUCUCUGGUCUGUAACUGACGCUGAGGAGCGAAAGCGUGGGGAGCGAACAGGAUUAGAUACCCGCGUAGUCCCUGUCUCUUAUAC